rnacentral:lncRNA from 1 species
AAAAAAAAAUCUCUUCCUUUAGUUACAGUUCAGAAUUCAAAGUGAAUUUAAUUUGGUGAACUUGGAAGUUGACUAAAGUGUUAUUGUACCAAUAAGAAGGACUUUAGUGCUUUUACAUAGAAACUGAAAUGUCCUCAAUACAAACUAGAAGCCUAUUCCAGGAGGAUCUACAUUUCUGCUCUGUGUUCUGCCCUUCAGUGUAAAUCCCAAGUAAUUUAAAAAUUAUUAGCAUGGAGUCCUAAGUGCCAUUGAUGGUUCUGGUGUUAGUUUUCUUGUUACCAGACAAAAUAGACAACACUCACAAAUUAAAGGAUGAGAGGCUUAAUUUAACUCUGGGAUUCAAAGGGUUCAGUCCAUAGUUGGCUUGUUCCGAGGCAGAAGCAUCAUGGCAGAAGGUGUGACAGAAUGAGGGUGCUAGUCCGUAGUGCCUGGGAAACUGAGCAGGGGAACAGUGUCAGAGAGCAAGAGGCCAGGGAAGAGGUAGAAGCCCCAAGGCCACAGUGCUAUCGAUCAGCUGGACACACCCAGAACAGUGGUCCACCAAUCACCCGGGCAGCUGCCAAGCUGAUUGAGCUGACAGUUAAGCUGAACUCUCACAGUACUAUUCAACUAGAAUCGUGUCCUUUUCAUUGGGGCCUCUGCAGUGGAGUUAAUAGUGAAAGAGAAAAGCCUUCAGAGCCCACAGAAACUGAAGAGCACCAUCUGCUCUGCUGUUAUGCCCAAUUUGAAUCUGGAAGAAAACGAUUCUGCCUGUGA